GACGAACGCUGGCGGCGUGCUUAACACAUGCAAGUCGAGCGAGAAAGCCUUCUUCGGAAGACAAUCUAGCGGCGGACGGGUGAGUAACACGUGGGUAACCUGCCUUAUAGAGGGGGAUAGCCUUCCGAAAGGAAGAUUAAUACCGCAUAAUAUGAUUUUAUCGCAUGGUAGAAUCAUCAAAGGAGUAAUCCGCUAUAAGAUGGACCCGCGGCGCAUUAGCUAGUUGGUGAGGUAACGGCUCACCAAGGCGACGAUGCGUAGCCGACCUGAGAGGGUGAUCGGCCACAUUGGGACUGAUACACGGCCCAGACUCCUACGGGAGGCAGCAGUGGGGAAUAUUGCACAAUGGGGGAAACCCUGAUGCAGCAACGCCGCGUGAGUGAUGAAGGCCUUCGGGUUGUAAAGCUCUGUUUACAGGGACGAUAAUGACGGUACCUGUAGAGGAAGCCACGGCUAACUACGUGCCAGCCGCCGCGGUAAGAC
rnacentral:rRNA from 1 species